UUAAAAAUGAUGUUAAGUACAGUGCAGUUUAAAAAUACAAAAACUGAUCUUUUUGAAAAGCGAUGAAAAAAAAUCUGUUCUCGAAGUAAAGAAUUCUUACAUUUGAAUUCUUACAUUUGAAUUCUUACAUUUUCAGUGGAUGUUACUGUGGAUUUAUUGAACAAUUCUUUUUCUUUCAUGCCACACAUUUUACGUCAUGAUUGCAAGUAUUGUUUAUUGUGCCAUUAGAAAAUAAAGACUGGUAUUUAAAAAUAUUUUACUCGAUCGAAUAUAAUCCUUACCAAAAUUGUGUCUUUUCUGGCUGUUUGCGACGUGACGGAAGACGGCACUAAAACGUCGAGGUACAAUCAUGGUAUGAUACCUUUCACGGAAGCCCAUUGACCCUCGCAGAGUUCAUGAAAGGUCAAACGUAGCAGCGACUGACCGCCCAGGAUACCUGGGCCCGUACAUGUUGCACCAGCUACAAAUUCCCAGACACUCCAAUUGCCUGUCGUGAUUAAAACCUGCUGUAUCUGCAAUGGGUUGGUCAGAUUCGCGAAGAUGGCGAACCUUUUGCGCAGCCAAGAAACAGCAUAAGAAGCACGGCAAUCGCAAUGCCAAGGAUUUUGACUUAGACGUACUUGCUGAAUCGUCGAUAUGGCAUCCAUGCCAUAUAUACCAUGGUAUGGUAUAUAUACAUAUGUAUUUAUUAAUACAAACAUUUAAUAAAAAAGUUUAAAUCCCAAAAAGUACUAAGCAAUAUGUUUAAAUCAAUAGAACUGAGAAUAUUGUUGAAAUAUAGUACACAAGAUUAUUUUUAUUAACAAGAUACACAAACAUCUUUCUCUGUGGUAUAUAGCGUUAUCUACUUGUCCGUAAAAAUACAAUAUUACAAUACAAAAUUACAAUACAACCAAUUUAAAACUAUCUCAUUUAAUUUUUGUAACUGUACAGUUCUAUGUUGUGAAACCGAAUUUUAAGUAUUUCAUUGUGAAUAUGAAUCACUACUUUUACAGGCACAUUCACAAGUGAUAUACUAUAACAUUGUAUUUUUUAUCUUCCUCCUUUUAAAGAAGCUAUGUACAAGCUGUAGGUACUAAAAUAUAUAUUAUAGUACAUUAUAGGUAUUUUAUAGCUAUAUACACUGAAAAGUAAAAAUGAGGUUCUUUUGCAAAGAUAGAUGUAGAUGAGUGUGUUAUCUGAGAUUGUCGUCGCAUCUACUAUUUCUCCAAUCAAA